GGCCGAAGGAGAGAGUGGAAGAGGUCAAACAUGGAAGAUUUAAAAACUGUUUUAAAAAAUAAUUCUAUCUCUGCCUCUGAAAGCCUACUAAACCUUCCCUGGCCCUUCCGGAUUACUGACCUGUGACUUCUACCACAUAUCUCUUCUGCCGUGAGCAGUGCUUUUGUCAGAGUCGUGGAAAAUUCACUUAAGAAAGCAAAACAAGGAAAUGAGAUGAGCGUUUUUCCUUUUGACCCUCUCAACUAUCCGUAAUUGAUAUAACAUCAGUGAGAUUUUACUGGCAAAAUUGAUUCAAAUCAAACCAGAAAAAUUCAGCCUCAAGAACUGAAAAUGAGCUAAAAGAUGGUCACAUUGUACCUAUUGGCUUCAAGUCAAUUUACAGGAUAAAAUGCACCCACUGAUUCCAAGCUUGGAAGGAGAAGGUCUCAUUAUAUACUGUGUCAGGUCAGGUCUCCCAGAACUGUUGGAAAGGUUGGUGUAGGACCUCCUCAUGGGAGAUUUGGGACUUCAAGCUGUGGCAA